GAUGAACGCUGGCGGCGUGCCUAAUACAUGCAAGUCGAACGAGGUCUUCGGACCUAGUGGCGAACGGGUGAGUAACACGUUGGUACCUACCCCGAAGUGGGGAAUAACUGCCCGAAAGGGUGGCUAAUACCGCAUAAUACCGCAAGGUUAAAGCAGUAAUGCGCUUCGGGAGGGGCCUGCGUCCCAUUAGCUAGUUGGUAGGGUAAUGGCCUACCAAGGCGACGAUGGGUAGCUGGAUCGAGAGGUUGACCAGCCACACUGGGACUGAGAUACGGCCCAAACUCCUACGGGAGGCAGCAGUGAGGAAUCUUCCACAAUGGACGAAAGUCUGAUGGAGCAACGCCGCGUGCAGGAUGACGGCCUUCGGGUUGUAAACUGCUUUUAUACGGGAAGAUUAUGACGGUACCGUAUGAAUAAGGACCGGCUAACUACGUGCCAGCAGCCGCCGUAA
rnacentral:rRNA from 1 species